GUUGGAGCAGUUUUUGCGUAAGGAGCACACUCCUGUAUAUGGAGUCCGUAUAGUGUGAACAAGCACGAGAAUAAUGUAUCAAUUGUGAUAUGUAAACACCAUACGAAGGGGCAGAGGGUAUGUUACUGCGGAGAAAUGGGAAAUUGAUAAUUGGGAAGUUGAAAUCGUCCCGUUUAUCAUAGAUUUUCGUGUGAAGUCGUCAAUCUACGUCAAUAUUGAGGAAAAGAUCAAGGUAUGAAGCAGUCCUUCUAGUAUCAGUAGUAUCCUUAAUUUCAAGUUCACUGGGAUAUGAGAUGUAGGUAUUGGCUGAAAUAUGGGUUAUUCAAUGAUAGAACAUCAUCAAUAUAUCGGAAAGUAAAAUUAAAGAAUAUCGCAAGGUGCUUUUUCUUUUUGUCUUUUAGAAGGUUCUGAAUGAAUUCUGCUUCAUACGAGUACAAAAACAAAUCAGCCAGCAGGGUUGCACAAUAAGUACCCCUUGGAAUACCGACUGUCUGUUGAAAUAUAAAUCCUCCAAACUCAACAAAUAUAUUGUCGAUCAACAAGUCCAGCAUUUUGAUAAUGUCAUCUUCAGUAUAUUUUCUGGACGAUUCAGUGUGAUUCUUCACAAAAUAUGAAUUAUUGUAACCCAAAACAAGAAAUUUGUAUCUACGAUUCCCAUUUUUAUGGAAAAAGCUCUGUUUUAUGAGAUGGCGAAGUCGAUCUUUCAACUGAGCAUGGGGAAUAGUAGUAUAUAGCGUAGAAAAAUCAAACGUUUUUAUGUUGCUGCAAAAUUGCAAAGAUUGUGAUCGAAGGUUAAGCAGUAGAUCUUUCGAAUUUUUGAGAAUCCACAUCUGGUUAACACCACUGGUAGAAUAUAUCUCCUCACAAUAUUUUUGAAGCCCAUCUUUAACUGUAGAAAGCAUAGUAGUCAGUACUUUAGAAAGAUGUUUAGUUGAACAUUUUGAAGACCCUGCUAUGUAUCGUUCUUUAUAUGAAGUUUUGUGUAAUUUAGGUAUGUCGUGGAACCUUUAAAUUAAGACAAGCUAAUGUAAUUUAAGAAUUAAAUGCUUCUAUUUGUAAAUUCAUUAGAAUCUAAAAGUGUUGACUGAAGUACAUUUUUUUAUCAAGUGCUUUAUUCUAUACAUGUGCGCACGGUCAACGUGUUUUACAACCCUUAGGAAUUACAAAAAGAAGC
rnacentral:lncRNA from 1 species